CACAUGACUCUCGGCAACGGAUAUCUCGGCUCUUGCAUCGAUGAAGAACGUAGCAAAAUGCGAUACCUGGUGUGAAUUGCAGAAUCCCGUGAACCAUCGAGUUUUUGAACGCAAGUUGCGCCCGAGGCCUUUUGGUCGAGGGCACGUCUGCCUGGGCGUCACG
rnacentral:rRNA from 1 species